rnacentral:rRNA from 1 species
AUGGCCCGGAUCAAGGUGCACGAGCUGAGGGGGAAGAACAAGGCGGAGCUGCAGGGCCAGCUCAAGGACCUCAAGGCGGAGCUCUCCCUCCUCCGCGUCGCCAAGGUCACCGGCGGCGCCCCCAACAAGCUCUCCAAGAUCAAGGUGGUGCGCACCUCGAUUGCGAGGGUGCUCACGGUGAUCUCGCAGAAGCAGAAGUCGGCGCUGAGGGAGGCGUACAAGAACAAGCGUCUCCCGCUCGACCUCCGCCCCAAGAAGACCCGCGCCAUCCGCAGGCGUCUCACCAAGCACCAGCUCUCUUUGAAGACGGAGAGGGAGAAGAAGCGCGAGAAGUACUUCCCCAUGAGGAAGUAUGCUAUCAAGGCCUAG